GAUGAACGCUGGCGGCGUGCCUAAUACAUGCAAGUCGAACGAAUCUUCUUCGGAAGAUGAGUGGCGAACGGGUGAGUAAUGCAUAGGUAACCUGCCCCUGUGCGGGGGAUAACAGGAGGAAACUCCUGCUAAUACCGCAUAGCCAUGAGCGCCGCAUGGAGCUCAUGCCAAAUAUCCUUUCGGGGAUAGCGCAGGGAUGGACCUAUGGCGCAUUAGCUGGUUGGCGGGGCAACGGCCCACCAAGGCAACGAUGCGUAGCCGGCCUGAGAGGGCGGACGGCCACAUUGGGACUGAGACACGGGCCAGACUCCUACGGGAGGCAGCAGUAGGGAAUUUUCGGCAAUGGGGGAAACCCUGACCGAGCAACGCCGCGUGAGCGAAGAAGGCCUUCGGGUCGUAAAGCUCUGUUGUAAAGGAAGAACGGCGCAUACAGGAAAUGGUAUGCGAGUGACGGUACUUUACCAGAAAGCCACGGCUAACUACGUGCCAGCCGCCGCGGUAA
rnacentral:rRNA from 1 species